rnacentral:lncRNA from 1 species
GCCACAGUAAUAACCUACAGCGUGGUGAUAUAAAUUGUAUUAUAGCGCAGUAAUUGUAUGGAUAUUAACAUGUAGCCUUUCAGCUUACCCUGAACAUUUUGUAUAAUAUAAUAGUAAACACAGGAUAUCUCAUAGUGUCGGUUUAUAGAUAGAGAAGUAGGUUGCAGAUCUGCAGACAGCAUUUCGCAGAGGCAGACAUCGCGAUGAAGGACAUUUCGAGGGUUAUGGUGUACGGGUUUCCGACCGACCAUCAUCAAAAGCGACUGAACGAAGGAGGCCACGCGAGUCAAUGCAAUGGAGCUCCAGAGGUAACGUUAACCGGUCAUGACUGUUGACUAGGCUAGCGUUAGACACUGGACAACUUUGUUGCAACUCUAGUUGAAGGAUGACAUCUUCAUCCCUGAAAAUGUUUUCAUCCUGCAGGAGGCAGGGGGAAAGAACGGUUAGUACAGCAUGCCAAACUGACCCCUGGGUGGCAGAGUGUUCCUGUGCUGCGGUGGAGAAGAGGUCCACCGGGACCAUCACCAAAGAGCUCAGGGCCCAGCUAGAUUGCGCUCACGACCAUCAGUAUACAAUCGAGUCCUGCCCCUAUUUGCCACAGAUGGAGCUGAUGGAGAGUGAGAUCAGUGAAGACCAUAACUCGCUGAGAGCUCAGAAUCACACUCAUCACAGUGCGAGCCAAAAUAUACUAUCGAUCACUUUGGGGGAGCGGGAUGGUGUUCCGAAAAUGGAGAAGGAGCAGGCCAUUCAACAGCCAAUUCAAAGAUACACCCAUCCAUAAAGGGAAUUGGAGUGGAAUUAUUUUUUCAAAUAUGUUUUUUUACCCGUUUCAAUGGACGUGCUUCCUUGUCCUGGUUCUGCUGUUUCGACACUCUCUCAACCUAUUAUUGCUCAGCUAUGAAAAGCCAACUGACAUUUGCUCCUGAGGUGUUGAACUGUUGCACCCUCUAUAACCACUGUGGUUAUUAUUUUGAUGUAAAAAGGGCUUUUGUCAAUAUAUAUUUGAUUGAUUGAUUGUUUGCUGUGCUGGAUGCUGUGUAUUCACUAACU